GCUGGCGGCGUGGAUUAGGCAUGCAAGUCGAACGCGAAAGUUCCCUUCGGGGAGCGAGUAGAGUGGCGAAAGGGUGAGUAAUGCUUGGAUGACCUGCCCUCGAGACGGGGACAACAGUUCGAAAGGACUGCUAAUACCCGAUAGUCCGGUUUAGAUGCGUCUAGAUCGGUAAAUGGUGCUUCCGCUCGAGGAGGGGUUCAAGUCCUAUCAGCUUGUUGGUGAGGUAACGGCUCACCAAGGCGAUGACGGGUAGCCGGACUGAGAGGUUGGCCGGCCACAUGGGAACUGAGACACUGUCCUGACUCCUACGGGAGGCUGCAGUCGAGAAUCUUCUGCAAUGGGCGAAAGCCUGACAGAGCGACGCCGCGUGGAGGAUGAAGGCCCUCGGGUCGUAAACUCCUGUCACAUGUUAUGAAACGCACAGGUCUACCUGUGCGCUGACAAAAGCAUGAGAGGAAGUCACGGCUAACUUCGUG
rnacentral:rRNA from 1 species